UUCCAGUUCAGCCAACGCUCCUCUCCCUUCUUCCCUCGGAGCUGUCACAGAGGAUAAUCAGGACAGCAAAGAGUUCUGGCAGCCACAUGAAGACUGUUUUUAGGGAUGGAGAGAGCAGCUCUGGCAAAUAUUGCCAACAUCUCAAGGAAGCUCUCGUUUACUCUCUAUAGCCUCUGAGUGCAGUGAAGAUAUCCAGAAGCAUGAACAUGAGGAUUGUGUGCAGAUGCAAAUGCAGAAUCCAUCCUCUGGCCAGGGAGGAAGAGACCAGAGACACUGAGAGCUGGAGAACCAGGCCAACCUCUUGCUGUAUCUUAUCUGUCCUAUACAAGAUAUUUUGUAAAAUUAUUGUUUAUGUUAACUUAUAGGGGACAACUCUUCUAACUUAAACUUAUCAGUUUGCUUUGAUUUAGAUUAUGUUGACCAUGAACAUGUAUUGACUACACAAAUACAUACCAGUAUUUAAGAGAGCAUAGGGUUCCUGACACCAAAACUGUGAAGAAUCUCUGACUUUGGCGACUUGCUGGGAGAUGAAGGCUUCCACAGGGAGAGGGGGCGAGGUCAGCUGCAGAAGGCUGAGAGGCAGGGUCCUGCAGGCGAGAUCAUCUCUCAGUAGCUGUGGCAGGGAAUGUGUGUAGGAAAAGUUAUCAAACAGUGCUCUGCUCCCAGCCCCUCUCUCUUUUGUUUUGUUUUUCGAGACAGGGUUUUUCUGUGGAACUUUGGAGCCGGACCUACAACUCACUCUGUAGACCAGGCUGGACUCCAACUCACAGAGAUCCGCCGGCCUCUGCCUCCCAAGUGCUGGGACUAAAGGCAUGUGCCACCAACGCCCUGUAACCACCAGCUUUCUUAGCCUGGAACAUCAUGAAGAGUAUUCAUUUUAUAAAUUAUUCAGAAAAAUUGAGCAAGAAAUGAGUCUAUAUUAGAAAAUGCUGUAUUUCUGCCAUCUCCAUGAAGUCUAAUUGUUACAAAGGCUUUGAAGUUUGUUUCUUUUCUUUGAUUGUGAGCACAAUACAGAUCACUGUAGAAAUGCAGAAAAUUCUCAAGUCUUUAAAAAAAAAAAAACAUGAAUUUUGCAAGGCAGCAGUGGUGCAUGUCUUUAAUCCCAGCACUCUGGAGGCAGAGGCGGGAGGAUAUCUAUGAGUUCAACGCCAGACUGGACUAUGAAGUGAAUUUUGGGAUAGCCAGGGUUACACAGAGAAACCCUGUCUCAAAAACAAAAAUAAAAACAAAAACAAAAAAAGCAAAACCUAAAAAAAAAACCUUGAAUUUUAUUUCAUGAGAGAAUGAGUUAG
ensembl:lncRNA